rnacentral:lncRNA from 1 species
UAGUUUUAUUAGUAAUUUAACUUAAAUGUUAAACACUUUUAAAUUAUAUUAUAAAAAAUAAAUUAUCAACUUUAACUUUGGAUAUAUAUAUAUAUGAAUGAAUGAAUAUACAAUGAAUCAAUCCUAAUUCCUAUCGUAAUUGAGUUUAUAGACGCUUUGACAUGAAUGUUAGGUAUCCAACUACUAAUUUAUGCUCUGACUGAUAGAUAGUUAAAAACUUUAAUAGAGUUUAUCUCCUGUCCUCUACAAAUAGCAAUUGUUUUGAUUCAUUGAAUCACAAAUUAUAUUUCCACGAGAUAAAUGCUAGUGCGGUUCAUAGGCUGAGAAAGCUACUAUUGUAAGAAAUAUGCACAACCCACCUCCACCAAAAGGCCCAGGCCCUCAUCACCACCCUGGGCCACCGGGUCCACAUCCUGGACCUGCUCAUCAUCCGCAUGGCCCGCCAGCAGGUCCAGCACCUCCACCUGGUCCUCAAGCACCUCCACCCGGUGGUCCUCCUGGUGCUGGGCCACAUGGCCACCCUCCAAACCACCGCUGAUUAAUCAUAGCAUAUGCUUAUGGGCUUGGUGCGCCAAUCUUAUAUGGCGAAUAAUAAUAACUUAGCUUGAUAUAUAUGGGGGGUGUAUUAUUGAAUCUAGCUGCCUAUGUGUGGUUAUUAUGCUUUUUGUGGCGUGUAUGUAAUCUGCUAGAACAAUAAAUCGAAAGAUAAAUGUCUUCCUUUUGUUUUUAAUUAAAAAAAGUUUAUAUAAGUUGAAUUUUGUGAGCUCAUUAUCAGAAUUAGGGCAUGUCUCCAGCUUCAAUUAAUUUAUGUAUAUAUUUCUUUUAAUAAAAGAUAAAUGUUUUCUAUCUGUUA